AAAAAUGGUCUAAAUUUUGCCAACAAAAUCAUUAGAAAUUAAGCGAACAGCAAAAUUUAUUUGCGAAAUGUUUUACAUCGAUUUAAUUCAUAUGAAGACGUUUUGAAGAAAUUGGAAAUGGUGGUAUUUGAACCACUUCCCGAUAUCGAGCUAUGUUGUUUUUACCUACCGUUGAGGCUGGGGUGUUUCAUAAUAGGAGUAUGGUACCUACUGGUAGGGAAUAUAGGCAACCACUAUCCCUUGUAUUUUGGGAUUGAACAGUCCACCUGCUACGAAAGGCUUUAUGACGUAAAUUGCCCACAAAGCAUAGUUCUGAAGUCCCCGCUGAGAUCGAUGAUAACGUUGAUAUGGUUUCUUCAUACUCUCGGCUUUUUUGCGUCUGUGGUAUUCAUUGUGGGCAUCGCAAUUGAGCAUGUAUUGUGUAUUUCGUUUUUUAUGUACGUCUUUACAAUUACGAAAGUUUUUGAUGUUCUUGUUUUCAUGACCCUUUUUAUAUUGGGCAUGACGAGUGCGUAUCCUUGCAAUGGAUCAGUGUUGGGCAUGCUCAAUUGUUUUACUACGAUUCUGGUGACAGUUUUACUCACGAUUUAUCUGGUUAUGGUAAUCAAGAGUUACAGGUCUUCUAUCGACAUGUGAUCUGUGUGUGAAAAUAAACGAUAAAUAAUUAAUC